rnacentral:rRNA from 1 species
UACGGAGGGUGCGAGCGUUGUCCGGAAUCAUUGGGCGUAAAGGGCGCGUAGGCGGCCAGUGCAAGUCAGUUGUGAAAUCUCCGAGCUUAACUCGGAAAGGUCAACUGAUACUGCUCGGCUAGAGUGCGGAAGGGGCAACUGGAAUUCUUGGUGUAGCGGUGAAAUGCGUAGAUAUCAAGAGGAACACCUGCGGCGAAGGCGGGUUGCUGGGCCGACACUGACGCUGAGGCGCGAAAGCUAGGGGAGCGAACGGG